rnacentral:rRNA from 1 species
GCUCAAGCACAACAAAGACCCUCUGUCCGCCAGAAGAUUACGAGCGAAAGCCUAAAACUCAAAAGACUUGACGGUGCCCCAACCUUCCUAGAGGAGCCUGUUCCAUAAUCGACAACCCACGAUACACCUAACCGCCCAUAGAAUAUUCAGCCUAUAUACCGCCGUCGCACAGCCUACCUUUUUAAAGCACAUAAGUAGGCCAAAUAGUAUUAUACUAAUAAGUCAGGUCAAGGUGUAGCACAUGGGGCGGAGGAAAUGGGCUACAUUAUUUAUUAUAAAUCACACGAACUCGGCCUAUGAAAUAACCAUGAAGGCGGAUUUAGCAGUAAUUUAAACAAGAAUAUUUAAAUUAACACCAGCUCUGGGGCAUGUACACA